rnacentral:rRNA from 1 species
CAGCAGCCACGGUAAUACGUAGGUGGCAAGCGUUAUCCGGAAUUAUUGGGCGUAAAGCGCGCGUAGGCGGUUUCUUAAGUCUGAUGUGAAAGCCCACGGCUCAACCGUGGAGGGUCAUUGGAAACUGGGAAACUUGAGUGCAGAAGAGGAAAGUGGAAUUCCAUGUGUAGCGGUGAAAUGCGCAGAGAUAUGGAGGAACACCAGUGGCGAAGGCGACUUUCUGGUCUGUAACUGACGCUGAUGUGCGAAAGCGUGGGGAUCAAACAGGAUUAGAUACCCCGGUAGUCCCUGUCUCUUAUAC